CACUCGUCGGUGUCAUGGGUUUUACGCUUUUCGUAAUCAUAAUAUUUCCUUUUUUUCUUUGUCCACCUAUGUAAGUGUUUUCUCAACUGCAUGCACCUCAUCCUGGUGACUCCGGGGCUCAUCCUUGCCGAAAGGACGAAAUAUGUGAGGUGGGUGCCUUGAGUGCCGAUUGUGCUUGUCAUGACUUCUGUCAUGGUGGUCUCGGUGAUUGGAAUUUACAUGGGAGUUUGCUUGCUCUUGCUUGACAUACGCAUUUGCAACAACUUUCAGGUUGGCUUCCUUCCCUUCCUCGCCUUCGAUUUGUUGGAGGUAUUUUUCGACUUUGUAUUUGAGCUUGUCUCUCGACUGAGGUACCAUACACUACAUCUUUUUUGACAGAGGCCCGGGGAGUAGACCUUGAGUGAAUCCGCCGAUUACAAGGAACUCUUCAUGACCUGGAACGUUGAGUGUCGCCAUUUUGAAUCUAUCAUUGUAUGCUCGUAUUGACUCUCCUUCUUUUUGCUUGCAUGCCAUUAUGAAGUUUGCAUCUCCUUUCCCCUUCCGUAGUUGCAUGAAAUUGUUUAGGAAAAGGUAUCUCAGUUGUUCGAAAAUCGCGAUGUUUCCUGGUCACAGCGCCUUGACCAAUUUUAGGGCGUUACCAGAUAACAUAACAGGAAAAUACAUACACAUGAAACGCUUUUCCAUCCUUAGUGAAUUCAUCGUCUACUCAUAGGUGUCGAUGUGCUCAUCGGGGUCAAUUGUUCCAUCGUACUUGGGGAUAUUUGGAAUCAUUGUCGAAUGCGAGAUCUCAUACUACAAGAGUUCCUAGCAAAAGGGAGAACUCAUGAUCCUCGUUGGGUUUUCCAUGCGAGGGUAUGGAAAACCUCCGUACAUCAUAAAUUUUUGGGUGUAAUAUGGGUUUCCGUAUGUUUGGUUAUACAUUGCUACUUGCGAGAUGUAUGGUUGUUGGUGGCAGCUCUAUUGCGUGCUUUGUUGCAGUUGUGAGCUUUUCUCCAGCUGUUGGGGCAUGCUCGGAGUUGAUCCAUGUGGUUGUUGGACAAAGGAGUUCAGCUAAUGCGUCGAUGAGAAGCGAGGAUUAGGCUCUCCCGCCAGCGGUGUUUAAUGGUUGGAUCUGUACGACUGCUUGAAAUGGGGUUAAACAUUGUAGGUUGUUGAGCAAAAAGCAAGAUAUGCGACAUUCCUAUUACAGGAGAAAACUGGUAGCUUAACGUUGGGUUGUGUGUGGGGGAAGGGAUGGUUCCUGGGGACCAAGUGUUCGCCCCCACCUGUUACGGUAGCGUCUGCAGCUGAGAAACCACUGGUUGUGACUGUUGAGUCGAUAGCUGGGGAUGUUGUGUCGGUGGCUGUGACUGCUAAGUCGCAGUCGACUAAGAUACUACAGUCGUGGUUGUAACUAGUUGCUCUGCUAUGGUAGAUCGUGGUUGCCUUAGGGUUGUGAUUACUACUGUUGCGGUUCCAAAUCUUGGACCUUGAUUUUGUGUUGCUGGCGUGUGGGUGGAUGCUUGUUCGUCUGAGAUAGAUGGUUGUCCUCGAGUGACAACAUUGAUCUGAGUGGGCUUGCUUCUCCCCCAACCGGACGCCGCAGGUCCCUUUUCCAUCAUUGCUGCCGCCUAGGGUUGUUUGAAGGUUGUGUAGCUAUGAGUACACACCCGAAUGGCACCAAAUGUUGUGAUAUAUCUUCGAGCUUAACACUUUCUGUGGUGGUUUCGCCUGAAUUACGCCUGAGAAUCACAACAAAGAAAGAGCCGACGUUAGUCUUCGUUUGGGAGGGGGUCCCGGAACGAGACUCCGAAUGUCUAGUUAGUAAGUGCAUGGGAGAAUUAGGGCUUUGUAUUAGAUAAAGAGAGAGCGUGAUCCCCUCUCAUGUAGAAGAAGCGUACUUUUAUACCUGUCGGUCGGGGAGCAUGUCCUAGACAACGCCUUCAGUCUUGUUUGGACUGUUAAGACUAGGAGGCAUCCUAUUGGUGGGUUAUGAACCACUAGUGGUUAUCCACUAUUGGUGCAAAGUUACUGAGAAGCGGUGCUCUGAGCGCUACACUUGUCGUUCUAGGGAUCAGUUUGGAACUAUUUUGGCCUAUUAAGGGCCUUUGUGUUAGAACGUUGGGGCAUAAACAUGAGGUCGUGAGGGCCAGAGCCCCGACCUAGCACUUACGUCGGGUAACGACCGUUAACUAGGUCGUCCCUUUGGAUAGUCAUCCUGUUAUCUUUGGUGUAUUCCCAGAGGGAUACAUUAAUAGUAUGCGCAUAUAUAUAUAUAUAUAUAAGCCACAUAAACUAUAAUAAAGUUCUAGGCAACAAACUACGUAUUACUUNUAUAUAUAUAUAUAGUUAUAGCAACUCACUACAACAUAACAACAUCCUAUACACAAGGAUACAUGACUAAAUCUACAAGGAUGUGUAACCAUAUGUAACCAAAGGUGAGAUAGACGCCCGGACAGAUGAUCCUACUCUAAAGCCACAACCAAACAAGGAACAUGCAGGAAAGCCUAGAACAAGAAUCCUCAGUCUAUCAUACGUGACCACAUACAGUCCCUAGGGCAUUCGUCUAAUAAAUGGUAAGCAAAAAAACUAGUGGGCCGGGAUUGGUGCUUUCGACCCAAUGGUACAGUGAGGAGAACUCACCUGAAAUGAAGAACCUCGAAAUAUUGAGACACGUUUCCCUUUCUGCACUGCUUGCUCCUGCAAAUCUACUAAUCACCAAAACCAAGUAAAAUCUUAAUCAAUAGUCCAAAACCCUCUAGUUUGACUCAAAGAAAAAAUUGGUCAAAAGUCAACGGUCAACAGAAGUCAAUGAAAUUCAAAGUCCAAGGCAGGCUAAGUAAGCCCAAAGUACACCAACCCUACGCUCAGCGUACGUUACUCGAGCCUACUACUCCCAGCAUAUGCAAGUUGUUUCCAACAUUUCCAUUAAGGACUUUAUCCCUUAAGACCUUUCGUCCAGAGCUCAGAUCUAGAUCCAAACAACAUCCUAAAUCAUAAAUUUCCAACUUUAUGACUUUGCAUGGCUAGAAAGGGUCCAAUCUAGAACCGUAACUUAUCAUAAAGUUCUAAGCUUUAUACACCUGGAAAUGCACCUCACAAUCUCUAGAAGAACUCACACUCAAACGGACCAAUUUUUGGGACAAAAAGGACAUAACUUUAACUUCUAAUCUAGAUCUAUAAAUGGAGGCAUACAAGUACAAACUUUAGACCUUCUAGAGAUGAAUGAGGAAGGAGAACUUCUAGAUCCAAAGUUGCUUCAAGCUUCCAAGCACUAUCACCACCUUCUUCUUCCUUCAAAGUCACACAAAAACACACUUUUCAGCUUACAAGGCUCAAACUAGGGUUAAGGUUUCAAGGGAGGACGUUGGAGAGCAGGAGGAUGAGAAUGGAAGAGGUUUAGAAGAGGUAAGGUGCAUAAAUAGGUCUCAAGACCCUAGAUUUAGGGUUUGGGUUCUGCUUGUGUACCCACAUCGUACUAAAUGGUACACCCAACAUACUCUCUUAGAUGUACAUUUUUAUCAGCUAGUACGCCCAGCGUACCUUGAGUAUGUCCACCAUACUAACACAUCUCAUAUCCAACACAAGGUUCAACCCGCUAUAACUUCUUCGAUUCAAAUCAUAUUUUGGCAUUCUUUAUAUGCACAGAAAGCUAUUGAAGAGCCCCACAAUCUAAUCUAGUUAUUUUGGACUAAGAACUUCUCAAAUAAAAUCUGUAAUUCAUGCAAGAAACCCAUUCUAUGACAUUCCCUUUCUACCAUUUGGUUUAUUAUACAAUUCAAGGGUUAUAAAUCUAAACCAUCAUUACCUCCUUCCAAAAAGGUCUAAGCAUUACCUCCUUAAGGCCCAAAGCCUUUACAGAAUCGACUUCCAGCCCAUGAACCUGAAAUAAGACAUGACAAGAAACAUGAUGUUACAAUUCUCCCCCACUUAAGUUAGAUUUUGUCCUCGAAAUAGGUUCUCGCUUCCACCCUCGGAGUAACCCCUUGAUCGGCCAACCACUUCUCCAUGCCUCUACAGUCUUAACAAGAAACAAAAGACCUAUCAAAAACACUACCUUACACUCUUAACAAGAAACAAGAGACCUAUCGAAAACACUACCUUACACCACACCCCUAAUCUCGUAAGAAGAGAAUCCACUUCUCAGCCCAAGACGAGUAGAUCCCAAAAUCAUGGACAACCUUUAGGUAAAUGGAACCACCUAUUUGACACCCAUGCUAACCAAAACUCCCAACCUGAUCUAAACAUAUUCUCCCAACCUUGUGUUGUUCAUCGAACAUCCGAAAUAGGAACUACAUCUUAUGCCAUAACUACAUGCCCCGCACACUGACACAUCAGUGUGGAACCUUACAAAACUCAGUGGACAAGGCUAAACCGUCCUUUCUAUCAAUGAAUCUUGGAAUUCUUGGUGGGCUACCGAUAUGCUAACCCCAUAUAAAAUGCACCAAUGCUAAGAAACCCAUCAAACACAUACUAUAAUGGACUAGGCUCCUACUCGACUCUAAUAUCCCAAUAUGCUAUCCACUCACAAUACUCAGGCUCACUUCAGAUCCGCUAUCAAUUAACCACACUCGGGCUUACCCAUGACCUGCAAAUCAACAACCGCACUUGGGCUUACCCCUGAAUUUCUAACCAAGAACUACACGCGCAACAUAUCACACACUGAACCAGCAAGACUUAACUUACCCUACCAGGAUUUUGGGCCAUGUCUCAGACCUCCAAGCACCAGUCAAAUAAGAACAGAUAAGGAAGACCUCCAUACAACCCUCAACUUGGCUCUUAGAAUCCUAGAGUCUAAAUAUCGAGGACGCCCUAUAGAUUACUAAUACUACCAAAACUAGAAUGAUUCAAAAAACAUUCCAGCAGCUAACUAUGAUCCCGAUGCGACAAUCAGAAAAUCAGACGAUUCCAUGAAAAUCCCAAACUGGAGAAAUUCGGUUAAGAUCUGGACCUUGGCAUCAGGUCCUCCUGCUAUGAGGGUUACAGUCUCCCCUACUUAGGAUAUGAUAGGUCUUGACAACUUCAACAUCUUUUUCAACUCCUAGGCCACAUGAACUCCACUAAUUGAUCUCCACACUUAAUAUUCAGGUGCUCAGAAAAAAAUCUACAACCACAACAACAUUCACAAAUUCCAACGCGCAAGCAACACUCCAAAGACAAAUAAUCAAUCCCUUCAUAAUAACAAAUUGAUUGAAACUAAAGUUAAAUAUGAUAAUUUCAUUCAACUAAUCAUUCAAGAUUACAACUGGACUCCCAGAACAUAAACAUAAAAUACAAUGAUACCACAAUACAAUACCCAACCAAAUCGAAGAACUGAAAACUCAAGCCUCGGUCUUUGGAACUCCGAUCAUCCUAUAUUGUCCAUCUGGUAAUUGCCAAGCUAGGGUUGUAGGGUUCGGAACCUCGUCAAAAAUAAAAAGGGGACAAUGAGCUUUGAUGUGGCCCUCCUGUCUGCAAUGGAAACAAACCCGCAAGCUCCGCCUACAAUCCCUACCAAAAAGACCCUCUUCGCCACACCUACGACAUACAGAAGAUCGACACCUUCCAUCAUGAAACCUUCCGCACUUGCCACACUCAGAUCUUCUCCUCUCAUCUAAUCCUAAACUCGCAUCAGUGGACUUAAACUACUUGGCCACCGGCUGAUAUUGUCCUGAAGUUGUCCCUUCCUCCUUCUACCGAAUCUCUAACUUGAUAUUCCUCCUCCUGGCGCUUGACUUCAUCUCGGUUAAGGUUCGGUACUGCUGAGUAGAUACAAACUAUUGAAUCUCCAUCUUAAGCAUACUCAAGUAUCGCGACAUUUGCGCCUGCUCUAAAGCAGCAUCCUCUAGCCAUAAAAGAGCUCUCUCUAUAAACAUCCUGGUGAUCUCCUUCACCGACUCCAUCUGUUUGAGUGACAUGUACUCUUGUUCCAAUCGCUCUCGCUCCACAAUAGGAACAUACUUAGCACAGAACAUAUCCUAAAACUACUCCUAAGUCACCGUCACUCGCUCUUCCUUCGAGAAGCCCUCAGUAACAAACUCCCACUAAUCAUUCACACCCCAACAAAGAAGAACAAGCGCAAACUUCGCCUUCUGGUUCUUGGGACAAAAACAUGUGAAGAAACAGCCCUACACAUUAGAAAUCCAUCUCAAAGAAAUAAUUAGGUUCGUGUCGCUUCUGAACUCUGGAGGCUUUGUAUAACUGAACUCUCGUUACUGUAUCGCCUUGACUCUCAGAGAUCGUGCAAUAGCGGGGACUAUUAUGGUUUCGGCAGCAACUACGUGCGUGAUGGCGACAUAGAAUCGAUCAAACUCCUUGAUCAGUUCGGUCUUGACUGACCCAAAAAACUAUGGAAUCGCCUCUCUGAUCACCAAGGCCACUUCGGCGGUAAUGACCCCGCGAAUCUCCUCAUCCUCCAUACCUGCUCUAACAGUGCCACCAUCACUUGAUCCCGAGCCUCCAUAGCUGUCAUAUUGAAAAUACACCAUGGAAAAAUCAAACAUCAAAACACAGUGCUUAACUCACCAGGCCACCCUCCUAUUAGCUCCUUGGUAGCCUCGAGAUUCCUCCUGAAUCCCAUAUGGAUCACGUUCUUUCAGUAUUAUGGGCCCAUACUACCUUCCACACAUAUCCAUAUUCGAUUCGAAAUUCAUCCCAACAUCCUAAGUCACUACACUAGACCAUUCCUAGGUGUGCUAACACCUACUUAUCCUAUGAGCUACAACUAACUUCCUAGGAUUGUCCUUGCUCCCGCACCAUUGUUUGCUUUUGUGCAUGUUCGUUGUACACAAUACGAGGUCAGAUAGACUGUUGAAUAAUUGACUCUGCCCUAAGUCCACAACCAAACAAGGAACAAAAAAUAAGGCUAAGUCGAUCAUUCUAAGGCUAUUUAAUCCCGACCAUAUAUAACUAUAAAACAUACACAUAAUAAUCACACAAUCAAAUAACAUAUAACAAGCAAUUUCCUACAUCUUAAGGCAUCACCGAAAUCAAGCACUUCUAUCCACAACUCCCUAUGAGAACCGAAGAUUAUCCAUUAGCAUACUUUUAUAACAAUUCAUAUAUCAACAAGUUCAAAUUCGGCACAAAUAACAAGUAUGGGUAUUUUGGGAACCACUCUCCUGUUCAGGCUCUGACUGACUGUACACACCGCCAUCUUACUGUAAAACCAAGGUUAAGUCAAGGUUCAUGUUCCCGAUCCCAAGCCAACAAUCAAACAAGAACAUGAUAAGAGACUGAUCCCAUGUCCCUAAACCAACCGUUUUGUUAUAAAUUUCCUUUGCAAAAAUGUUUUGUGAAAAUUCUUGGAUCCUAGUUUGAGUUUGGAUUCACACAAGUAUUCUUCUAAUUCACUCAAAAUAAGGCUUUGAUACCAACUUGUAACGUCCCAUUUUCACAACAAAAAAAUUUCAUUUUUAUUAAGGUAAAACUCCAUAUCAUAAAACCCGUAUUAAGAAAAACCCUUUGUUCCAAAUUACAUUUGUAAAAUCAUAGUAAUAUUAUAAUACAGAGUCUUCAUUGUUAUUGAUGAAUGUGUACAUUCACGCCUUCACAUUCCCACGAUAAUUGAUGAUACCUGAAACAGUAAUUGUUGGGUAAGCACAAAGCUUAGUAAGUUCCCCAAAAUACCGCACAUAACAAAACAUAAACAAGUAUGCAUAUCCGGUCCACAGUCAUUGAACUAGAAUGCCUCGGGUUUGUUGGCCUACCACCUCAACUCAACCACUCUUCCCGAGCCUCUGUGCCUAUUGCUUACAGGUAGCCCGCACCUGUUUUCUUGGCCUACAACACAAAGCAGGACCGCCUCAACCUUAUCCACCACCAUAUGUUGACAUAUAAACAAACAAGGAUCAAGUAGGCACAUAAUACAUGCAAUAUCAAUCAUAUGACUCACUACCGCCUACUAGACCUCUCAUAACACACUGCUCCACUACUAGCUAACCUCCAUCGAAUGUGUAAUUCUAAGUAACCAUAGGUGAGAUAGCCACCCGAACAAAUGAUCCAACUCUAGGGCCACAACCAAACAAGGAAUAGGCAAGAAAGCCUAAUUCAGGCGUUCUCAAGCUAUCCUACAUGACUACAUACAUUCCCUAGGACACUCUACUAGACGAUAACCUACCUACUGGUACUCUAAACAGUAUACCACUAAUGUUGCAUCCUAUCACACCAGGAUAUAUAUAUAUAUAUAUAUAUAUAUAGCAGAUCACUAAAAUAUAGCAACAUCUUAUGCACAAGGAUACAUGAAUAACUCUACAAGGAAUGCAUAAUCAUAUGUAACCAGAGGUGAGAUAGACACCCAGACAAAUGAUCAUACUCUAGAGCCACAACUAAACAAGGAACAAGCAUGAAAGCCUAGAUCAAGAGUCCUCGAUCUAUCCUACGUGACCACAUACAGUCCCUGGGGCAUCCUUCUAAUAAAUGGUAACCAAAAACUAGUGGGCCAACAUUGGUGCCUUCGACCUACUGUUAUAGUGAGGAGAACUCACCUGAAAUGAAGAACCCCAAAAUAUUGAGAUGCACUUCCCUUUCUGCACUGCUUGCUCUCGUGAAUCCACUAAUCACCAAAACCAGGUAAAAUAUUAAACAAUAGUCCAAAACCCUCAGGUUUGACUUAAAGUUAAACUUUGCCAAAAGUGAAUGGUUAAUGAAAAUCAACGAAAGUCAAAGUCCAUGGCAGGCUGAGUACGCCCAACGUACUCCAACCUUACACUCAGCGUACAUGAUUCAAGCCUAGUAUGCCCAGGGUAUUCCUAGGUACGACCAACGUAUGCAAGUUGUUUCCAACAUUUCCAUUAAGCACUUUAUCCCUUAAGAACUUUCGUCCAGAGCUCAGAUCUAGCUCCAAAUGACAUCCUAAAUCAUAAAUUUUCCAACUUUAUGACUUUGCAUGGCUAGAAAUGGUCCAAAUUCAAAACCUAACUUAUCAUAAAGUUUUAUGCUUCAUAACUCAUCCAUGAAUGGAAGGAAAAUAUCAAGAUUGCAUUUUUAUGAGUUAACACCCUCAAAUACACCUGGAAAUGCACCUCACAAGCUCUAAAACAACUCACACUCAAAUUGACCAAUCUAUGGGACAAAAAUGACAUAACUUUAACAUUUAAGCUAGAUCUAUCAAUGGAGACAUAAAUGUACAAACUUUAUAAAUAAAUGAGAAAAAUGAACUUCCAAAUCCAAAGUUGAUUCAAACUUCCAAGCAGUAUCACCACAUUCUUCUUCCUUCAAAGGCACCCAAAAUUUCUAAACAUAGUUACACUCCUAAAUGGUUCUCUUUUUAUUUUUCUAAUUAAUUAUUUUACAUAGUUACACUCCUAAAUGGUUCUCUUUUUAUUUUUCUAAUUAAUUAAUUUAACUAGUAAUGAUAUGCCAUUUACGUGAAAUGUCAGUCUAGUGACAGGAACAUUUAAACAAAAAAUAUAGUUUGAUGAUAUUUUUUUGUACCAAUGUCUUACUUAGAUGAUAUUUUUUUGAAUAAUUUCAAAACAUAAUUACCCUUCUAAACCAUUUCCCUUUUUCAAAAAGUUAAACACAUUUAAUCGUUAAAACACUUAAAUGUUCUCGAACCGAAGAUUAUUGAUUACUUAUACAAUAUCGAGUGUUUAUUGGGAUCAAAAGCAUAUCUAUAUCUAUAUCUAUGGCUUCUUCAUGACAAAAAUUACAAAUUGCUCGUCAUCUGUUUCCCUUCCCUUCGACUGGAUUACAUUUCAAACUUGAACCAAAUCUCAUUUACUCUGUUGUCAAAUUCGAAUGGAGAAUUGUAUUGAGCAACCGUGUAAACUGUCGUGAUGUCACGGGAGUGGCUUUUCUUGAUGGCAUCCAACCAAGUAGUGCCAGAGAGACUGGCGGAUAAGGCCGCAGCUUCAACGCCGACGUCUGAGUCCUUUAUAAAUCCACCGAAUUGGCGUACGGCUACAUAAGUCGGUCCCCAUUUCUGGAUCGAAAUUCCGGUAGCCGGAGGCGGAUCGACUUGGUUCUUCUUCGGGACAUAAAAACUCACCAGAAAUGAAGAUUCGCAGAAGGGUCCGUCACUCGGAGCAAUCUCUGUUAGAACCGGAGCUGUCAUUUCUAUCUGCUCAUUGUAAUUGUUUUUCCCUUGGAUGUAGUU
rnacentral:lncRNA from 1 species